GGGCAGAGAAGUGAUGGUGGAUGCGAGCGGGGCAAAGGAAAAGCACAAUACAAUUGAAGUAAGCAGAGAAGUAGCCAUCCACUGCCCUGUCGUGUACCUUGGAGAGAAGGAAGAGAACCUUUUCAAAGAGUUUGCUGUGAGUAAUUCUACAAUGAAACACUGGAGUCUGCGUCAUGCUCUAGGAGUACCACGAGACGUUACGCAAGGAGGACACAAAACAGUUUGAAGCAGGCCUUGACAGGCAAUUGAUGAAAACUGCCAGUUCACCCCAGGAGCUGACCACAAGACAGCAACCAUCAUGGUCGAGGGAACCAAAAUCUUUGAAGGAAAGGAUAUCCCAAGGUGCUGUGCUUUCCUGAUAGGUAUAAUAUAUGCAUUGAAUCUGAGCUAUCCCAAGGAACUGAAAUGAACUUACUGUUGAAAUGUUUCAGAAGGUGUUCCUUGAACUUGAUGGAUUAAAAGUCAGUGCAUAAGUAAUGAGUCUCAAGAACAGUAUUUUCUGAAGAUUCCACUUGUUUCACAGCACUAUCAGAUUUUAUUCAGAAAAUAUUGUUUGUAUUUUGAAGUCCACUGAAGAGGCUACAAAACUGAUAAUGAAACAGAAAAGGGAACACAGGACAAAAUUUGAAAUUGUUUCUCUGUCAAGUUGCUUUGGAUAUGCUGUAUGUGCAUAUGUGUAUCUUGUCUUGACAGUUGGAAAAACAAAGAUGACAUUUAAAGAAAUACAUAUUUUAGCCCACAGGGGGACUGCUGCAGAGUAACAUACAGAGAAUGCAGUUUUUGUGUUUUGGAAAUGAAUGUUGUAGGCUUACCCAUAUAAUUACAUAUGCAGUUUAGGUAUAGCAACUUAAGGAAAGUUCCAUAGCAUGUUACUUGGCUUUGGCUGUUAUAUCCUUGGAGACUCAGGUUUUGAGGGGGUCACAAUUGUGUAAGAUGUAUUUAGAUGUGUUCCGAAAUCUGUUAUAAUAACCUUAGAACUGGCUCAGUCUUUUAUAUCAUGCCAUGCCAUGCAAAGAGGUGUACUGUUAGAUGAGCAAGCAACCUGCGUUAAAAUUUUUCAUACUGUUUCAAAUACUGUCUGCUGUGAAAACACAUUCGUUAGUUUUCAUAAAACUGAUCUAAAAGGUCUCUAUCAUAUUGUACAAAAAAGCUGCAGGACCUUGAGAAGAUUGGUGGCUAUUGAAAGUUGAUGUUUAAUGAGUACUUGCUUGGAACUUUGUUACUGUAGUUUUACAGAAUGUUUACAAAUGUUUUACAAAGUGAUUUUAAAACUGGAGUUAACAACAUUUUACAGAUUCUACAUGGCACUGUGGUCUAAAAUACGUAAAGGCCUAUAACUUUGCCAUGAUGGCAUAAGUGACUUGCUGUGAUGGCAUAAUUGAAUAUGUAUGCCAACUACUUAAUUUACCAAGGCAAUAUGGCCAGUUUGUUUAUUUGAGGGGCAAUUUAGAUUCAUGUUGUGUUUUUUUUUUCUUUCAAGAUUUAAAUAUAGUAUGUUCAAAU